AGCUUUUUCCACACUGAGAGAUAUUAAAAAAAACAAGUUUCCACUCAGCUAUUUUUUAGUUACUGCUCUGAUGUACUCAAUUUCAUAUUUUUUGGUUUUCAGUGUUUGAAAACUUUUCCUCUCACAUGUUAAUUAGACACAUGGAACAAAUGCCACAGAUGAAAGAUGACAGCUUUCGGUCACUGGGUAAGCUGGCGGUGACACAGAAUUGGAAGAGUAUUUCACAGAGAACCCACGCUCCAGGGCUGCCAGAGUAAGCAGGAAAACAGAUGAUUCCGAAGCAAAAAUGGACAAAAAGCCGACGACCUGACAACCGACCCCCUGCUCCCACCACGCACCAUGCUGUGCAAAGCUGCCAAAAGUGAACGCGUCCACGCCAGCCAGCACAGCACUGGAGACCCCCAUGAGCAUGUUCACUGCUGCUAUUAACCCAAUUAACAGUUUUAUGGAGGAAAUGUACAGAGGGGCUCUGAACACUGUGGAAGUCACCAAGGCAUUGCAAGACACCAAGAGAGAGGCCAGUAACAGCUAGAGGUAACACACAGUUCCCUUGUGGCAUGCUCUACUUUCUUUAACUACCGUGAAAACAUGAACACCAGGUGCUCAUAUUUUCAAGCUUGACACAGAGAAAUGGAGAUGGGGAAUUUAAAUCACUUAAGAUCCCUCAAAGAAUGCAGAGUUGGGGCCAGGUAAAAAGCCAGAUCUCCUGGGCUUUUCAUUAUAUUUCUCUCAGAAUGCUUCAAAAAGGUUCUGGAAGUAGAGAAAGAGAAUCCCAGGGAAAUACUCUAUAACAUUAGAACAGGAAGCAAUGGUAGUAUAAAAGUGCAUUUCAUGAACAUUUCAUCUUAGGUUUGUCUUGAUGUUUGAUGACAUUUGAUGUUUGAGAGCCAGAGACAAUCUAGUUGUUGAAAAUAAAAUAUCAACCCUUCCCAGCUGUCUUUUUUUUUUUUUUUUUCAACUGGUCCAUUCUGUUCCUGGGAAUGGGACAAACAGUUAU